AGAGAUGGGACGGGCAGGGAAG
rnacentral:miRNA from 2 species